CCUACGGGUGGCUGCAGUGGGGAAUAUUGGACAAUGGGCGAAAGCCUGAUCCAGCCAUGCCGCGUGUGUGAAGAAGGCCUUCGGGUUGUAAAGCACUUUCAGUGGGGAAGAAGGCCUUGGGGCUAAUACCCUCGAGGAAGGACAUCACCCACAGAAGAAGCACCGGCUAACUCCGUGCCAGCAGCCGCGGUAAUACGGAGGGUGCGAGCGUUAAUCGGAAUUACUGGGCGUAAAGCGCGCGUAGGCGGUCUGAUAAGCCGGUUGUGAAAGCCCCGGGCUCAACCUGGGAACGGCAUCCGGAACUGUCAGGCUAGAGUGCAGGAGAGGAAGGUAGAAUUCCCGGUGUAGCGGUGAAAUGCGUAGAGAUCGGGAGGAAUACCAGUGGCGAAGGCGGCCUUCUGGACUGACACUGACGCUGAGGUGCGAAAGCGUGGGUAGCAAACAGGAUUAGAUACCCUUGUAGUC
rnacentral:rRNA from 1 species